UACGGAGGGUGCAAGCGUUAUCCGGAUUCACUGGGUUUAAAGGGUGCGUAGGCGGGCAUGUAAGUCAGUGGUGAAAUCUUUGGGCUUAACCCGAAAACUGCCAUUGAUACUAUGUGUCUUGAAUAUUGUGGAGGCUAGCGGAAUAUGUCAUGUAGCGGUGAAAUGCUUAGAGAUGACAUAGAACACCUAUUGCGAAGGCAGCUGGCUACGCAUAUAUUGACGCUGAGGCACGAAAGCGUGGGGAUCAAACAUG
rnacentral:rRNA from 1 species